rnacentral:tRNA from 1 species
GCGGCCGUGAUCCAGCCUGGUUAGGAUGGGGGCUUCCCAAGCCCCUUGCCCGGGUUCAAAUCCCGGCGGCCGCA